GUCCAACUGACGAGUCCAAAAUAGGACGAAACGUGAGUCCUGGAU
rnacentral:hammerhead_ribozyme from 1 species